rnacentral:lncRNA from 1 species
AGGUGGUAAAUCCUGGCCAAGGCUCCUCGAGCCAGGCCGGCUGGCAGUGCUGCAUCGUGCUGAAGGCGCUGAGGUUGCAGCGGAUGCAUUCCGGGCCAGUGAUAUGAUGUGGACAGGAAAAGUCUUUUGUUCUGGGAAAAUGGAGGACUGAAACCUCUUCAUGUCUUUUUCCCAGGCCCUGAUUUAGGAAGACCAAAACAGGGACUUCUACAGUAGCAGCUUAAUCAGCAGAUGCUGGGUGGUCGCCUCUGCACAUGGCCUGGGGGGCGGGGCGCCUUACCGCGUCACACUGGGUGGAUGGGCCUGUGUGUGGCCUCUCUCCAGCUGUGGCUGACAGUACUCACUCAGCCCAGGCUUCCAGGCCCUCCUGGGCCCUCCUAUCCACUGAAGGAAAUGGGAGAUGAGUGGGUAAUGGAAAAGCCUUUGGAGUCAGAUGUAAAUCCAUGACUUGACCACUUAUUGCUGUGAGACCCUGGACAGCUGGAUAUAGAGUUCUUGUUCUAGCAUCCGCCCUGGGAAUCCCCGGAACUGGGCCUCUUACCGACACCAUUGCCUGUAAUCCACAAACCUAGGAGCACAUGGUUAAAGCAUGAGAUGUGAAACCAGGAAGAACCAGGUCUGAACCUUAGCUCCACCAGUGGUAGCUUCAAACCUUGGUCCUUUCUGAGCCUGCUUCUUCAACCGUAAGGGAACGCUACACUUCCUUAGAAAUUAAGAGUGUGUGCUACACUGCUUUACCAGAGCAAGGCCAAAAGCAGCUUCAAUUAUGGUACAACUGUGUGAAGACACAAUGCAAAACCACUCAAGAAUGCUCACUCAAAUGGAUUUUUACCAUGGAACUCGGAAACGGGACCCAGAAAGUUGUUUUCUCAAGUGGAUGGAACAACACAAGCAAUCAGUAUCCUGAAACAGGCCCUGUUCCAACAAACUGACCCAGAAAGCAAGUAUGAGGACUCCUGUUUCCCUACGUACUCACUACUACAGCAAAGAUAUCAAACAUUGAUACCCACCAAUCUCUGGAUGGAAAAACAAAUCUCAGGGGCCUCACUAUUUUACCCUGGCUGGUUUCGAACUUCUGGGCUCCAGCUACCCCCAAGCCUC